rnacentral:rRNA from 1 species
GAUGAACGCUGGCGGCGUGCCUAAUACAUGCAAGUCGAGCGAACAGACGAGGAGCUUGCUCCUCUGACGUUAGCGGCGGACGGGUGAGUAACACGUGGAUAACCUACCUAUAAGAUUGGGAUAACUUCGGGAAACCGGAGCUAAUACCGGAUAAUAUAUUGAACCGCAUGGUUCAAUAGUGAAAGACGGUUUUGCUGUCACUUAUAGAUGGAUCCGCGCCGCAUUAGCUAGUUGGUAAGGUAACGGCUUACCAAGGCAACGAUGCGUAGCCGACCUGAGAGGGUGAUCGGCCACACUGGAACUGAGACACGGUCCAGACUCCUACGGGAGGCAGCAGUAGGGAAUCUUCCGCAAUGGGCGAAAGCUUGACGGAGCAACGCCGCGUGAGUGAUGAAGGUCUUCGGAUCGUAAAACUCUGUUAUUAGGGAAGAACAAAUGUGUAAGUAACUAUGCACGUCUUGACGGUACCUAAUCAGAAAGCCACGGCUAACUACGUG